CGCUAGUAAUCGCGGAUCAGAACGCCGCGGUGAAUACGUUCCCGGGCCUUGUACACACCGCCCGUCACACCACGAAAGUCAACUGUACCAGAAGUCGCUGGCCUAACCGAAAGGAGGGCUAAUACCGAAUAGGACCACAGAUACCUUGGUAACAGUGGUUAAAGGUGGCCUCUACAUGUAAGCUAUCACUUGGAGAUGGGCCUAAGCACCAUUAGCUUGUUGGUGGGGUAACGGCCUACCAAGGCUCUGAUGGUUAGCUGAUCUGAGAGGUUGAUCAGCCACACUGGAACUGAGACACGGUCCAGACUCCUACGGGAGGCAGCAGUAGGGAAUUUUGCGCAAUGGGGGAAACCCUGACGCAGCGACGCCGCGUGAGUGAUGAAGGCCUUCGGGUCGUAAAGCUCUGUCAAGAGGGAAGAAAAACGGUAUGGCUAAUAUCCAUACCGCUUGACGGUACCUCUAAAGGAAGCACCGGCUAACUACGUGCCAGCAGCCGCGGUAAUACGUAGGGUGCAAGCGUUGUUCGGAAUUAUUGGGCGUAAAGCGCGUGUAGGUGGUUAAGUAAGUUGGGUGUGAAAGCCCUGGGCUCAACCCAGGAAGUGCAUCCAAAACUGCUUGACUCGAGGACGAGAGAGGGAGGUGGAAUUCCUAGUGUAGAGGUGAAAUUCGUAGAUAUUAGGAGGAAUACCGGUGGCGAAGGCGGCCUCCUGGAUCGAUCCUGACACUGAGACGCGAAAGCGUGGGGAGCAAACAGGAUUAGAUACCCUGGUAGUCCACGCCGUAAACGAUGAGUACUAGAUGUUGCGGGAAUUGACCCCUGCAGUGUCGCAGUUAACGCAUUAAGUACUCCGCCUGGGAAGUACGGUCGCAAGGCUAAAACUCAAAGGAAUUGACGGGGGCCCGCACAAGCGGUGGAGCAUGUGGUUCAAUUCGAUGCUACGCGAAGAACCUUACCUGGGUUUGAAAUCCCCGGACAGCCCUAGAGAUAGGGUUUUCUCUUCGGAGACCGGGAGUAAAGGUGCUGCAUGGCUGUCGUCAGCUCGUAUCGUGAGAUGUCGGGUUAAGUCCCUUAACGAGCGCAACCCUUGUCCUUAGUUGCCAUCAUUCAGUUGGGCACUCUAAGGAGACUGCCGGUGUUAAACCGGAGGAAGGCGGGGAUGACGUCAAGUCCUCA
rnacentral:rRNA from 1 species